rnacentral:rRNA from 1 species
UGAACGCUAGCGGGAUGCCUUACACAUGCAAGUCGAACGGCAGCGCGGACUUCGGUCUGGCGGCGAGUGGCGAACGGGUGAGUAAUAUAUCGGAACGUGCCUAGUAGCGGGGGAUAACUACUCGAAAGAGUGGCUAAUACCGCAUACGCCCUACGGGGGAAAGGGGGGGAUCGCAAGACCUCUCACUAUUAGAGCGGCCGAUAUCGGAUUAGCUAGUUGGUGGGGUAAAGGCCCACCAAGGCGACGAUCCGUAGCUGGUUUGAGAGGACGACCAGCCACACUGGGACUGAGACACGGCCCAGACUCCUACGGGAGGCAGCAGUGGGGAAUUUUGGACAAUGGGGGAAACCCUGAUCCAGCCAUU